GGUAGGCGAGCAGACUCAGGUGGUGAUCAUUGACUUGGCCGACCCCAACACCCCCAUCCGCAGGCCCAUCUCUGCCGACAGCGCCAUCAUGAAUCCAGCCAGCAAGGUCAUUGCACUAAAAGACGCCGCCAAAACUCUUCAGACUUCAACAUUGAGAUGAAGAGCAAGAUGAAGGCACACACCCAUGACAGACGAGUUUUACCUUCUGGAAGUGGAUCUCCCUCAACACAGUCGCACUUGUGGACUGACAAUUGCCGUCUACCACUGGAGUAUGGAGGGUGACUCCCAGCCUGUGAAAGUCUUCGAUCGCCACUCCAGCCUCGCAGGCUGCCAGAUCAUCAACUACCGCACUGACGCCAAACAGAAGUGGCUCUUGCUCAUCGGUAUCUCAG